rnacentral:misc_RNA from 1 species
AACGCACGAGACCUGCGGACCUGCGGAGGGAUCACUACCGAGUUAUCCAACUCCCAACCCCUGUGAAUUAUACCUUUAAUUGUUGCUUCGGCGGGACUUCGCGCCCGCCGGGGACCCAAACCUUCUGAAUUUUUUAAUAAGUAUCUUCUGAGUGGUUAAAAAAAUGAAUCAAAACUUUCAACAACGGAUCUCU